rnacentral:misc_RNA from 1 species
GGCUAACCUAACAAGUAACAGCAGGACAAUAGAAAUAAAGAGAAGAAAAAUGAAGUAUGUUCAAUCAUCAUGUUUGAUCCCAUUGGGAGCCAUAAACCAUAAAGAUCAACUACACAAAAUAAGUAAACAACCAUACAAGUGACACACCUAUUUGCAAACUAUGUGAGAGGAAAACUUUUCUUAUUGACUGCAACAUCAAUUAGAUUAUUACUAACUAAACUGGUAUUGCAUAGAUUUUUUUCAAUGAUCACAGUGUGGCAAAUAUAUGAGCAUUAUAGUAAAAAUAACUUGAUGAGACCACAAAGAAAACUACUUCCCAUGAGUGCUGAAGUGUACGAAUUCAUGAAUCUG